UACGUAGGGAGCAAGCGUUGUCCGGAAUUAUUGGGCGUAAAGAGCUCGUAGGCGGUGUGUCACGUCGGCCGUGAAAACCUGCAGCUUAACUGUGGGCGUGCGGUCGAUACGGGCAUCACUGGAGUUCGGCAGGGGAGACUGGAAUUCCUGGUGUAGCGGUGAAAUGCGCAGAUAUCAGGAGGAACACCAAUGGCGAAGGCAGCUCGCUGGGACGGUACUGACGCUGAGACGCGAAAGCGUGGGGAGCGAACAGG
rnacentral:rRNA from 1 species